rnacentral:ncRNA from 1 species
CUCAUAGGGGUGCAACACGCUGAGACUGCCUUGCGCAGAACCCUUUGAACCUGAACCAGAUAAUGCUGGCGUAGGCAUUG